rnacentral:rRNA from 1 species
GACGAACGCUGGCGGCGUGCCUAAUACAUGCAAGUAGAACGCACAGUUUAUACCGUAGCUUGCUACACCAUAGACUGUGAGUUGCGAACGGGUGAGUAACGCGUAGGUAACCUGCCUGGUAGCGGGGGAUAACUAUUGGAAACGAUAGCUAAUACCGCAUAAUAUUAAUUAUUGCAUGAUAAUUAAUUGAAAGGUGCAAUUGCACCACUACCAGAUGGACCUGCGUUGUAUUAGCUAGUAGGUGAGGUAACGGCUCACCUAGGCGACGAUACAUAGCCGACCUGAGAGGGUGAUCGGCCACACUGGGACUGUGACACGGCCCAGACUCCUACGGGAGGCAGCAGUAGGGAAUCUUCGGCAAUGGACGAAAGUCUGACCGAGCAACGCCGCGUGAGUGAAGAAGGUUUUCGGAUCGUAAAGCUCUGUUGUAAGAGAAGAACGGGUGUGAGAGUGGAAAGUUCACGCUGUGACGGUAUCUUACCAGAAAGGGACGGCUAACUACGUG